rnacentral:rRNA from 1 species
AUUAUGGCUCAGGACGAACGCUGGCGGCGUGCCUAAUACAUGCAAGUCGAACGGUCUUUUCUAUGGAAGCUUGCUUCCACUGAGAAGAUAGUGGCGAACGGGUGAGUAACACGUGGGGUAACCUGCCCAUAAGAGGGGGAUAACAUCCGGAAACGGGUGCUAAUACCGCAUAGUUUUCUUGAUCGCAUGAUCGGGAAAGGAAAGACGGCCUUUGUGCUGUCGCUUAUGGAUGGACCCGCGGCGUAUUAGUUAGUUGGUGAGGUAACGGCUCACCAAGACGAUGAUACGUAGCCGACCUGAGAGGGUGAUCGGCCACAUUGGGACUGAGACACGGCCCAAACUCCUACGGGAGGCAGCAGUAGGGAAUCUUCCGCAAUGGACGAAAGUCUGACGGAGCAACGCCGCGUGAGUGAAAGAAGGUUUUCGGAUCGUAAAACUCUGUUGUCAGAGAAGAACAAGUUGGAGAGUAACUGCUCCAGCCUUGACGGUAUCUGACCAGAAAGCCACGGCUAACUACGUGCCAGCCGCCGC